rnacentral:lncRNA from 13 species
GAUCUGACAACACAUGCCACUGCUUUUGUGAUAAAUGACAGAGCCAAGCAUUGUCUCUCACAGAAAGGUGUGAAUGACAUUGUUCUGGGGUACAGCAGUAUCAAUCAUCACUAUUGGACAGCCUCAGGAAGCAGAUGGAGGCAGUGCUAAAUAAACAUUCAGGUCAACUUGAAAAAGAUGCAAUGGAUAUAUUUGACAAUUUCAUUAACCCUUUUGCUGGUGUUGCAACAACAUUUAGACAGGACAGUGUUAUUAAGAAGCAGUUUAGCUGUUUGGACACAGAGGAAAUUCCAAUUGCUCGAACCAUAUGCAGAAAUUUGUAAUCCACUAGGAUCCUUUGCAUCAAAAAACAAGUUGUUAAUGGUGUACAACACCCUAGGAAAUAUACAUCCAAAAUACAGGUCUAAACUGGCUGCUAUCAGGCUACUUGCCAUGGCUAGAUCAGCAGACCUCUGUCAAUCUGGUGUAGAUGUAAUAUUGAAUAGAAUCAUGGAAGACAUGGAUGAUUGUACAGUGGGGUUAAAAUGCUAACUAUUAAAUGGAGAGAAAACGAUAUAUGGUGCCAUGGUUGCUCUCUGUGGAGACACCCUGGCACAACAUGAACUAGCAGGGUUCAAAGAGCGUGUGGGCUUUGCCUACAGUAAGUGCAGACACUGUGAGUGUUCUUUUGACUACAUGCAGUCACACUUCAAUGAGGAUGCAUAUACUAAAAGGACAUUGGAGAAGCAUGUCAGACAGUGUGAUGAAAUAGAAAAGGCACAGACGGACUUGCUUCGCAACAGCCUGAGAACAACAUAUGGGAUCAAUAGAAGGAGCAAGUUAGUUGAAUUCCCAGCCUUUGAUAUCAACAACAAACUCCGCAAUACAUUAUGCAUGUCAUUCUGGAGGGCAUAGCCCCAUUGGAAGUCAAAUGUGUUUUGAAUCAUCUUGUCUUGUCAGGACAACUUGAUCUGGACUCAGUGAAUUCUGUUAUUCCUUUUUUUUUUUUUUUUUUUUUUACCCCUUUUUUUCUCUCCCCAUAAACAUAAUAAAUAAACAAUAUUUACGUAGAAAAUUGAGGGACUUCCUAUGUUUCAAUGAAGUAAACCAUGCUGUAUCAGUCAAAUGGCUUGUAAUAAAUUCUAAUAAAUACAUAACUCAGAAGUCCAUGAUCUUUGCCAAAGUAUGCCAGGAUUUGGACUGGUCAAAAACAUAUUUCUUGUUGAUUCUAGGCUUUAUUGUUUGGAAUAUCAACCAUUUCAAACUAUACGCUUUGAUAGAAACGUCAUGGUUUAUCAAGUUGAGGUCCCACACCUUGCACAGGCCACUGAGUUAGUGGAUGCUAAAAAGCUGGUUUAUUUAACCUCUUACACAAUUAGCAACAAGAUCCAAACUUAUGUACAAGUCAAAUACCAUCUUGGGGAUGUAAUAGAAUUGUUCAAAUGACUCAGUGUGUUCCCCAGAUAUGAAUAUAGAUAUGUCUUUUUUCUGUACUGUAUUUUGUCUACAUGAUUGCUGUGCUGUGUGUAAGAUUGAUAUUAAAACAGUGAAUUCCGUUUGGUCUGUUCUUAAUAUGUGAAGAGAUGAAAAGGAUAAGAUGCUUG